CAUGUGACGAGUUUGAUCCUGGCUCAGAAUGAACGCUGGCGGCAGGCCUAACACAUGCAAGUCGAACGAAGUCUUCGGACUUAGUGGCGGACGGGUGAGUAACGCGUGGGAACAUACCCUUUGGUACGGAAUAGCCUCGGGAAACUGGGAGUAAUACCGUAUGUGCCCUUCGGGGAAAGAUUUAUCGCCAAAGGAUUGGCCCGCGUUGGAUUAGGUAGUUGGUGGGGUAAUGGCCUACCAAGCCGACGAUCCAUAGCUGGUUUGAGAGGAUGAUCAGCCACACUGGGACUGAGACACGGCCCAGACUCCUACGGGAGGCAGCAGUGGGGAAUCUUAGACAAUGGGCGCAAGCCUGAUCUAGCCAUGCCGCGUGAUCGAUGAGGGCCUUAGGGUUGUAAAGAUCUUUCAGAUGGGAAGAUAAUGACGGUACCAUCAGAAGAAGCCCCGGCUAACUCCGUG
rnacentral:rRNA from 1 species